GCUUUAAAAAGGCAAGUCGAUUUUAGAUGAGGUGCUUGCACCUUAUCUUAGCGGCGGACGGGUGAGUAAUGCUUAGGAAUCUGCCUAUUAGUGGGGGACAACAUUCCGAAAGGAAUGCUAAUACCGCAUACGUCCUACGGGAGAAAGCAGGGGAUCUUCGGACCUUGCGCUAAUAGAUGAGCCUAAGUCGGAUUAGCUAGUUGGUGGGGUAAAGGCCUACCAAGGCGACCAUCUGUAGCGGGUCUGAUAGGAUGAUCCGCCACACUGGGACUGAGACACGGCCCACACUCCUACGGGAGGCAGCAGUGGGGAAUAUUGGACAAUGGGGGGAACCCUGAUCCAGCCAUGCCUCGUGUGUGAAGAAGGGCUUAUGGUUGUAAAGCACUGUAAGCGAGGAGGAGGCUACUGAGACUAAUACUUUUGGAUAGUGGAUGUUACUCGCAAAAUAUACAUCGGCUAACUCUGUGCCAGCAGCCGCGGCAAUACAGAGGGUGAGAGCGUUAAUGCGAUUUACUGGGCGUAAAGCGUGCGCAUGCGGCUUUUUAGUCGGAUGUGAAAUCCCCGAGCUUAACNUCGUUUUAAGGGCCCCACACUGGGAAGCNAGAGGANGGGAGAGGACGCCUUUUUACCAGGCGNAGCGGGGAAAGGCGNAGAGANCCGGAGGAACACCGAGGGCGAAGGCAGCCACCCGGCCCAANACCGACGCGGAGGCACGAAAGCAGGGGGAGCAAACAGGANNAGACACCCGGGNAGCCCACGCCGNAAACGAGGNCCACNAGCCGNGGGGGCCCNCGCCCCCCCAGNGGCGCAGCCAACGCGANAAGNAGACCGCCGGGGGAGAACGGNCGCAAGACNAAAACNCAAAAGAANGGACGGGGGCCCGCACAAGCGGNGGAGCAGGGGGNNNAANNCGAAGCAACGCGAAGAACCCCACCCGGCCNCGACANACUUUUAUCUUUCCAGAGAUGGAUUGGUGCCUUCGGGAAUCUAGAUACAGGUGCUGCAUGGCUGUCGUCAGCUCGUGUCGUGAGAUGUUGGGUUAAGUCCCGCAACGAGCGCAACCCUUUUCCUUACUUGCCAGCAUUUCGGAUGGGAACUUUAAGGAUACUGCCAGUGACAAAACUGGAGGAAGGCGGGGACGACGUCCAGUCAUCAUGGCCCUUACGGCCCGGGCUACCCACGUGCUACAACGGGCGGAACAAACGGUUGCCACCCCGCGAUGUGACGCUAAUCCCAAAAGCCCAAUCGUAGUCCGGGAUGGAUUCCGCCAACCCACCCCCUGAAGCCGGAAUCGCCAGUAAUCGCCGAUUCCAACGCCCCCGGGAAAACGUUCUCGGGCCC
rnacentral:rRNA from 1 species